CUAACUUUUGCCAUAAGAGAGGGCAUUGGAGGGCGGAUUGUUAUGCGGGAAAAGUGGAGGUUGGUGUGCUUCUGGCGCUGUCCCUUCAGGGCAUCACGUAAGAAAACCACCUAAUAAACAAAGUGAGCUUCCCAGAGGUUUUCACUGCAUGUGGGGUAACACGUUCCAUGACGCAUGACAAUCUUAACUCAAUGUCUGAUCCUAACAAUGUGAAAUGUGACGCGUCAGAGUUGUCUGCAGUUUCCCUGUCUCAUGUCUGGGCAGCAACACUUACAUGGAUGCCCCCUCCCCGUCACAGCCGCGCGGUCUUGUCCCAGAUGCAGAUGCCAUCACACCGCUUGGCUGUAUCAAUUUGACAAUCCUGUAGAGUAAAGCAUGAGCGUGGUCAGCAUAGUCUGAAUCUAUUGGCGUUCCCUGCCAGCACACAUACACAGAAAUAGCCCUGCCAGUGAGGAUGAAAGCGGCCGCACAUGUGUGUGUGUGUGGAUGCUUUUGGGUGCGACGCAACUCCAUCUGUGGCCCAUCAGGUUCAACGUGUUGGAGGCCACUCCACCGCAGCUUCUGCCACUGCAUAAAUACCACACAACUGGUCCACUGUUCCUCGCUGCUGGACGCUGGUGGCAUGGAAACGCAGACACACAGAGAAGGCAGAGCCAAUGGACAUCGAAGUCAUUGAACACAUUUAUCACUCUUUAGGUUGAUUUGUAUCAGUUUGUGUUGUGUGUAGAUGUAUAGCCUGUAUGCUAAGAUAGUGGGGAUGUAAGUGACAAACACAUUAUUGAUUUGACUUGAUUGAUAUGCAAUGCUUCCAGGUAACAUCACAUCUUUACUUUUAUUCAGCGGAUUCAGAUUUAUGUUUAAAAGGUCAUUCGUGUGUUAUCCGUAUGUCCAUAGUUACAGGCUAAACAUGGGCUGCCGCAAAUGUGGAGAGAAAUGUAGGUCAAACAGAACAGAAUUAGGUUAGAGAAAAGGAAUUUGUUGUGCAGUGAAUGACAAAUCUUCACUGACAUUGCACAAUCUACAACCCCCCCCUACCCAUUUGGCUAAUGUACACCAUGAGAGGUUGAAGCCACCUGUGCUUAUUUUGAAGUGUUGUCGUUUGAAAAUUUAGUGAGUUCUGAUAAGAUGAAACCAUGAUAGUGAACAUUUCAAAAGAAUAUGUACAGUUCUAGAGGUACGUAUUCAUUUUGACUUUGAAUUAUUUUAAUGUUUGCAUCACGAGAUAUUGCUUGAUGAGCUUUAAAAUGGCACAUUGAAUGAUCAUGAUGAAAGUGGGUGGUCCAAUCCUGUUAUACAAAAAAACUUAUUUGGUUUGUUUUUUAAAGGGAAAUCAUGCAUUAUGACCUGAAAAGCUACUCUUCCACAGUUGAAACUGGGUGAAUUUGUGUGAGUAAAAAGUAAGUGAAAGUAAUGGAUUGUGGGUAGAGCCUGUUCACAUUAGGGAGACACCGAUGCUAAAAAUAGUGAAACAACUUGCAUUUUUUCCACAGGUGAAUUGGGG
ensembl:lncRNA